GCAUGCACAGGCUGUCUACCUAAGGCUACUUUCACACCUACGUUAGGUGCGGAUCCGUCUGGUAUCUGCACAGACGGAUCCGCACCUAUAAUCCAAACGCUUUCAGUUCAGAACGGAUUCAUUUGCAUUACCA